rnacentral:lncRNA from 1 species
CCAACAGUUGAUUCAUACAGAUGCAGAUGCCCUCAGCUAAAGAGUGGAUGGGGCUUUUGGGAAACUUAUGGAAGAUUUGGGGGAAGGAUUAUGGGCCCCAAAGGGAAUUGGAAGUCCACAGGAAUACCAAUAGAGUCAACUAAGCUGGAUCCUUGGAGCUCUCAGCGUCUAAACCAACAGCCAAAGAGCAUACACAGGCUAGACUUAGGUCUUCCUGCAUAUAUGCAACAGAUGAGCAGCUUGGCCUUCAUGUAGGUCAUGAAAAACUGGAUCAUGGGUUAUCCCAAAAGAUGUUGCCUGUCUGCGGGAUGUGUUCUGGUUUGGCUGCCUUAUCUGUCCUCAGAUAAGAGAGAAUAUGCCUAGCCCUGAAGAGACUUGAUGUGCCAGGGUGAGGGGAUAAGUGGGAGGAGGUCUCCACCCUUUCAGAGGAGAAGGUGGAAAGGAUUGUGGGAGGGAAUUAGGGGGAAAAGGGGAACAAGAUAUUAAAUUGAAUGAAUAAAAAUAAAUUAAAAAAGAAGAAAA